rnacentral:rRNA from 1 species
UACGUAGGCAGCAAGCGUUGUUCGGAGUUACUGGGCGUAAAGGGUGUGUAGGCGGCCUGUUAAGUUCCGUGUGAAAUCUCCCGGCUCAACCGGGAGGGUGCGCGGAAAACUGGCGGGCUAGAGUGCGGGAUGGGAGAGUAGAAUUCCUGGUGUAGCGGUGAAAUGCGUAGAUAUCUGGAGGAACACCGGUGGCGAAGGCGGCAUCCUGGACCGACAUUGACGCUGAGGCGCGAAAGCCAGGGGAGCAAACGGG